UACGGAGGGUGCAAGCGUUAUCCGGAUUCACUGGGUUUAAAGGGUGCGUAGGAGGGCAGGUAAGUCAGUGGUGAAAAUCUCCGAGCUUAACUUGGAACUGCCGUUGAUACUAUCUGCCUUGAAUAUUGUGGAGGUGAGCGGAAUAUGUCAUGUAGCGGUGAAAUGCUUAGAUAUGACAUAGAACACCAAUUGCGAAGGCAGCUCGCUACACAUAUAUUGAC
rnacentral:rRNA from 1 species